AACACUUCACCUUCAAAAAAACCGGAAUAAUAGAUUUUGGCUGAAACAUUACACAUUCUGAGUUGGAAGAUGGUGAAGAGGAUGAAAGGUUGAGAGACGUGCCAAAUUCAGUGUUUCGAACAUUGAAAUAAGUGGCAGGAUUACUGCCUGCUGAUGAUGUUGAUUGAAAGUAGAGGCUCAACUCUGAUCUCCAAAUCCAGGAUUUGUUUGUGGUUAAGGCUACUGGACAAGAUGCACAUUUAGGUGAAUAAGAUCAAGGUCAUUGUCACGGAACCAGAUGCUCAGGAGAUCUAGCUCCGCGUUCAUUUUCUCUCCCCUACCCUCUGUCAGCACGAGGUCCACACUCAGUUCUCUCUGUAUGAGAAACACAGAUGCCGCACAGACAGGACUGUAGGGAGGUUCCCACGCGAGGCACAGGAGACUGGAACGCUAUUUCAGAACGGGGCCCUUUUUCCUGCCGUCGCUGGUGGUGAAGGACGAUGGAACCGUCACUGUUCAUUUCAGUAUUACUCAUCACUUUUGGAAGAUCGUAUCAAAGUGUAGCCAUGAAAUAUGUAAACUCCUACAUCAAUAUUUAGAAUGUAUAUAAAAAGCCACCUUCUAGAAAGUACUCAGUGUGCUAGAGCUAAGCAUGUAUGUAACAUGAUCAGGCUUGUUCCUCAUCCAACUUAGAAAGUCAGUGUCACCAAUGGCCUUUUAACAAGAAAAAAACCCAUGGCUCCUACCAGAAUGUAGACAGGCUAUAGGAAGCAGGCUUGGAAAUAUUAACCCUUGCCCUCCGGGUUUUCCAUUUCAUCUUGUCAUUUUAUUCUAAAGAGUAUUUUUAAAACUUCAUACAUGAAUUUCAUACAUGAGUACUGUAUUUGCAUUAUUUCUGUCCCUCCA